AUUGAACGCUGGCGGCAGGCCUAACACAUGCAAGUCGGACGGUAGCACAGAGGAGCUUGCUCCUCGGGUGACGAGUGGCGGACGGGUGAGUGAUGUCUGGGGAUCUGCCCGAUAGAGGGGGAUAACUACUGGAAACGGUAGCUAAUACCGCAUAACGUCGCAAGACCAAAGUGGGGGACCUUCGGGCCUCACACCAGCGGAUGUGCCCAGAUGGGAUUAGCUAGUAGGUGGGGUAAUGGCUCACCUAGGCGACGAUCCCUAGCUGGUCUGAGAGGAGGACCAGCCACACUGGAACUGAGACACGGUCCAGACUCCUACGGGAGGCAGCAGUGGGGAAUAUUGCACAAUGGGGGAAACCCUGAUGCAGCCAUGCCGCGUGUGUGAAGAAGGCCUUCGGGUUGUAAAGCACUUUCAGCGAGGAGGAAAGGUUGAUGCCUAAUACGUAUCAACUGUGACGUUACUCGCAGAAGAAGCACCGGCUAACUCCGUGCCAGCCGCCGCAGUAA
rnacentral:rRNA from 1 species